AGGCAAGGGGCCAGGGUGCGGCCCACAGGGAAUAAAAGCUUAGGCCUGGCUCUGGGCUAAGUUUAGUGGGAGAUAGAGGAGACCGGAGAAGUGCAGGUCUGAGUGGAAGACCUACUGUGGAAUUAAAAAAAAAAAAAACCCUCACUAGGGGCAGGGCGGGAGACACCUCUCUUUUUCAACUUAAACUCAACAGUUCAUUGCCGGUGGGAAGAAGGGUGAAGAAAGAGACAAAUUUUAACGUAAACUGUGAAUUGCAACUUCUGGGGACUAGAGAGGGCUGACGUACCAACGCUAUCAGCAGGGUCCUGCUAGCUCCACCUUGAGAACACUGGGAGUAUGGGCUUACAGCAGAAGAGGAAAGUGGUGAGGUCACCAGCCGAGGAGUGGAUGGGGAGAAGAGAGAACGGAAACUCAUUGAGAAAUACAUUGUGUCAGCUGGGAAACCGGACAGGGUCAUUGGCCACCAGGCCACGAGGACAAAGGGAGCAGAAUCGAUGAACAGGAUUUCAGAUGGCCGGUCAGUAUGAAGGGAAAUGAUGACACAUUUCAGAAUCAACUUCUGGGAAACAGAUCAACUUUAAUCGGGGUGAAACGGGUUAUAUGAUCUUGGGGGAGGAGGUAGGAUUAUCCAGGGUGGGCAAAGGCCAUUGGCUGAAGGCUAAGGCACUGAGCUGCCUCAUUACCAUGGGGAAGGACUCCAGGAAUCUCAGGGGCUUGCGGAUCGGAUUCUCAUUAGGAGAAAGGAAGCUGAACCUAUGAUCUAACCAAGGCCAUGUGGCAUUCU
rnacentral:lncRNA from 1 species